GUGAUCACCUUGGCAACACACAUAUUAAAAUUGGAACAAUACAGAGAUUGGCAUGGCCUCUGUGCAAAGAGCAAAACCAAAAAUAUAUUUAUUUAUAUAUUUAU